rnacentral:rRNA from 1 species
UGGGGAAUAUUGCACAAUGGCCGCAAGCCUGAUGCAGCCAUGCCGCGUGUAUGAAGAAGGCCUUCGGGUUGUAAAGUACUUUCAGCGGGGAGGAAGGCGAUAAGGUUAAUAACCUUGUCGAUUGACGUUACCCGCAGAAGAAGCACCGGCUAACUCCGUGCCAGCAGCCGCGGUAAUACGGAGGGUGCAAGCGUUAAUCGGAAUUACUGGGCGUAAAGCGCACGCAGGCGGUCUGUCAAGUCGGAUGUGAAAUCCCCGGGCUCAACCUGGGAACUGCAUUCGAAACUGGCAGGCUAGAGUCUUGUAGAGGGGGGUAGAAUUCCAGGUGUAGCGGUGAAAUGCGUAGAGAUCUGGAGGAAUACCGGUGGCGAAGGCGGCCCCCUGGACAAAGACUGACGCUCAGGUGCGAAAGCGUGGGGAGCAAACA